ensembl:lncRNA
GGGGAAAGGCAGUGCUAUAGUUUCUAUUAUGAGCACAAUAAAGUGUUUUUAAUAAGCUUGGAUGCAUGCAAAUCUAUUGUAUGUGACCUCUAAAACAAAAUUGGGCACGUUUCAAAACCAUAAUAGGUGCGCUUAAUUAGCGUAAUGAAGCGUUAUAACGCUGAAGUGAGCGCUGUGCCCCUGGUUCCCCUAGCGCGUCACCGCCGUAUUACACCUUCCUCCCACUUCCACACGGAGCACUACCCCCGCUGUUAUUCCUAAUGUGGAGAGCCCAUUCCGCCGCCGGGGCUUCCCAACCGGGCUCGAUUCACCACCAGCUGUACCUGGGGAUUACCACCUCCACUCUAACACCGUCGUUACACGGCGUAUAGAAACCCACGCGUCGGAAUGCCACGCUUCGGUAAAGUCUCAUGGACAUGCCGGAGCCACGGAUGUUGUAAGUUCAUGCUGGAGGCAAGCCAGCACUUUUUCUUUUGCGUCCUAUAGUAAUUUGUCUCUUCUCUUUUCACUUUCGCUCGCACUCUUCCCGCCUCCCCUCUGGCAGAGGUCUUGAUUUCUCACGUCUGUUCUAGCAGCACCCAGCGUGCUCACGAGCGGACAAAAAUCAAUGGAAGUUCCUCGAUCAGCACUGCGAAAUCCAGGCAUAAAGCGAGUGCAUUAGCAUGUCCAUCACACAGCUGCCCUCUGUUUCGUUUGAUCUCACGGUUCCCUGAUAUGAUACGAAGCCACUCAGAUUAAACCCGAGAUCAGCUGUGAAUGGAUUCUCAUUUCUCGCACGGUACGUUUUCCCCUGACGGUCAGCACCGAAUACCGAGGCACGGCGAAUCGAUCGCCUCCUCUGCCGUCGUGCAUGUCAUCUUCCCUAUCGUUCGGCUAGUCUCUUUUGUGGUCCUUUUAUUGCCCGCCGUUCCGCUAGGGGCGGCGAAAUCGCCGCUUGUUCACGGAGCUGUUUUGCAUACGCUCGAUGAGGGGUCACUAAUGGCCAUGACGCAGACGAUUUUCACAUCCACCACCAUUGUCGGAGCAGUUGUUUGUUUUAGGUUUUUUCUCACAGGCUGUCUUUCUCUCUCGUCACACACUCAAUUCCGAAGCAGCCCAGGGGCCGUUUACACGACGACGUCUUUUCAACUAAAAACGCAAAGCUAUUCAUGCGGUUUGGCCGUUCGUUUACACGACAGCGGCGCUUCGGGGCCUAAAACGCAAACUUGUGAAAACGGGUUUCAGAGUGGAAGUUUUUUGGAAACGAUGCCGUUAUCGUCUCGGUGUAAACGUACAAGCGCGAGAGUUUGUGAAAACGAUGAUGUCCCGCGCACGCGGAUCACGUGCUGAGUCUAUAGGCGUGCGAGCGAGGACUGUGUUUGUGCUGCCGAAGAUUUUGCGUUCAUUGACGCUUCUCCAGCAGAGUGUAGGUUCACCGCAUCACUACUAGGACCAGCCGAGACGCGUCUGUUACAUACACGACAUCAUUAACCCACGGCUACGCCGACGAAGCGCGUUCAGAAGGCACGUUCGGGUGAGACCUGGGAGGACAAGCAGUGGGUGGGGAAAACUCUAUCAGCGCUGUUGUUGACGAGCGUGAAUGGAAGGAAAACUUCCACGUGUCAAGCCUGCAUCAUAUAUAUACACGUAUAAUAAGGGUUUUUAAAAACGUUUCAGUUUUUCGUACAUCGCUGUCGUGUAAACGUACGCUUAGUCACAGGAGGUAGCAGAGAUAGCUGAAUGUUUUGUUUCAGACUAGACUUGGUAUGAAGUGCUCUUCAGUGUUUCGAUCCCAUAUGGAAGCGUUCCUCUGGAGUUUUGGAGCGUUUUGAGAAAAGGUGUGGCAGGUGAUCAUGGAUUCAAGAGAAUAACCGUGGGAUUUGGUGAAGCUUGGCAGGUUUCCAACAUCAUCAUAUGUGUGAUGGAUUAUAUCUGAAGCAGCCAUUGAUUCGAAUGGAUUAUUUUUCAGGGACACUUCCUGUAUUUUCUUUUCCACCUCUCUUCCAGCAUUCAUCGAGCGCCGCGUCACUCGUUUCACUUGUAGUUCGUCUCUCGUGAGCAUGCUGCUGCUCGUGGGUGUGCACCGUCCAGUGUUUGUUCUUGUUCCGAUAAGAAACCGUAGCGGCGACGUCUUUCUUCCAUUUAUGCGCAAGAAAUAAUAACUAAUUGCUGAUACUCUGUAAAACCGGAUAAGUUCAUGUAACUCCAAAAAAAAAUUUGAGGGAACUAAUUACCUAAAGGUUUUUAAGUUGAUAAAUGAAUUUCUUUAAGUCAAAUACAC